GUCAGCUGCGUUGGUUGGCGCCAUAAUUGUGGUUCAUAGUACCAGAUCGUCAAACUGAAUCUCCACAUUUUGUACGCUAUAGGCGAAAUUGCUUCCUAGAUCAUCGCAUCCGACGCACGCGAAGGGUACGCUGUUUGACCACUGGCCAGGCGGGCAAGUCAUCGGGAGCCAACUGUUCGUCUGCAGAGUCUGUGUUUAAUCUUGCUGCUAGGCCUCCCCACCGCGCCGUGCACUUGUCUUCCGAAAGGCCGGAGCCGAGUGGAAACGGAAAUGCCGUCAUAUCCAUCUUUACACCACGAACACCGGAAUCAAGCUCCACAAAACAGUUUCUGACGAAGCAAAGCCACAAAGUUAGAGCUGGAUUUCGCGACGUUUGCUCCACUGCAGAAUGAUCUCGUCGGUCAAAAGGAAGAGAAGGAAGACGACAGGGUACCGUCCAAAGAGGUUAGCCAUCUUCCCAAUCAGCGGCUAUGAAAAGGACCACGUCAUCGGCUUAUCGUGUAUACUACAAUGACUCUUCUAUGAAACGUGGCGUUCGUGCGUGUGUGUCUGUGAAUUGAGAAUAGCUAUGUAGUCGAGAGUGGCGGACUGCACAGUAUUCUGCAACGCGCAAAUAAAGAAGAGUAUAAGUAAUUAU